GAUGAACGCUGGCGGCGUGCCUAAUACAUGCAAGUCGAGCGAACGGACGAGAAGCUUGCUUCUCUGAUGUUAGCGGCGGACGGGUGAGUAACACGUGGAUAACCUACCUAUAAGACUGGGAUAACUUCGGGAAACCGGAGCUAAUACCGGAUAAUAUUUUGAACCGCAUGGUUCAAAAGUGAAAGACGGUCUUGCUGUCACUUAUAGAUGGAUCCGCGCUGCAUUAGCUAGUUGGUAAGGUAACGGCUUACCAAGGCAACGAUGCAUAGCCGACCUGAGAGGGGGUACGGCCCCCCGGAAAGUGAGCCCCGGCCCGGGGCCCGAGGGGAGGCACAGGAGGGGAACCUUCGCAAAGGGGCGAAAGCUUGACGGAGAAACGCCGGGGGGGUGAUGAAGGGCUGCGGGCGGGAAAACCUUUUUUUUGGGGAAAAAAAAUUUUGAAAGUAACGGUGCCAAUUUGACGGGAACCAAAAAAGAAACCCCGGCUAAAUCCGUG
rnacentral:rRNA from 1 species